rnacentral:lncRNA from 1 species
UGGGCAUAUCUAGAUGCAUAAUAAAUUAGUUUUUAUAAAAGUAAGCCAGUAAUUUGUUUAGACAUAAAAAAGGAGAAUAAGCUUUUAUCCCCUACACUGUGUGUAUAUAAUAUUAAUAUAUAUAGGCAUGGCUACUUAUACUAUGUGGAGUGAAUGGCAGCGCACUACUAUAAGUGUGUGGUUAGAAUGAUGGAGCUUACGAAUCGGACGAUCACUCCAUUAAAUAUGAUCUAGAGUAUUGAAACUUUUAGAAAAUAUAUUAUAAAUUUCGAAAUUCAUAAUAAAGUCCAUUCAAGCGGAGUAUCAAAAUUAACGACGGUCAAAACUCGAACGACGUCCUUAAAAAAGAGAUGAUCAGAUCCGUCAAUUCCGAUUCAGAGUUAUUAAUCUGUAUCUAUGUAGUUGAAUAGAAUUUCUAUCAAAAAUUCAAUCACAAUUCCGAUUCUUUUAUACCGUUAAACUCAGCAAGUAUUUCAUCAGCGCCAUUAAAAAUUUGUUCAAAUUGUGACUCUUGAAUCGUAAGGUAAAUGAUGUCGAAAAAUUUUAUAAAUAUUAUUUCGUAGAAAUUUAAAUUUGUAAAUAACGUUUAACGGGUGUGGACGUCGAUUCUGAAAGUUCUAAUAUCGAAAAACUAACAUUUUUUAUUGAGUACGAGGGCGAUCGUUACUCAUAAUAGUAUCAGUAGCUGCUGCCUCUAUAUAUAUAUAUAAUAUAUAUAUAUAUCUAUAUUAUAGUAUAUUAGUAUAUAUAGUAUAUAAGUAGAUGAGAGAGAGAGCGAAGAGCAAGAGUUAGGGCUACAUAUCUUAUUAUGAGGAUAGAGCCCAUCGUACUAUAUGUGUUUUCGGAUGUGGCCUUUUGCGAAUCGACAAUCCACACCGUUUAAACAUGAUUUAGGAGUCAUUUGAAACUUUUAAAAAUAAAUUUCGAUUUUUUCAAAUAUUAUUAUAAUUCCAUCAAGCGGGGUAUAACAUGACAUGUUAAAAAAUUCGAAUACAUCUAAAACGGUCAUUACGGAACCUCUCAUUAAGAUCGGAGUUAUUGAUAUUUUUUAGGUGAUUCUUGGUGAAUAGAAUUUCUAUAGAAAAAUCAACAUAUUCGCGAUUCUUUUUCACUGUUAAAUUUCGCAAUAUCUCAUUACCGGCGCGUUCAAAAUUGUCAAUUUUGUGAGCUUUUGAUUGUAAGGUAAAUGAUAUUGAAAAAUUUAUUAAAAUUUGAUUUCUAGCAAGUUUUCAAUACUCUAGAUAAUAUUUACAGUAUGCAUCGUCGAUCCAGAAACUCUAUCAUCGAAAACAACUUAUGAGUUACGAAGCCGAUCGUACUCAUAAAGUAUAGCAGCGCAGACAUAAUAGUAUAUAUAUAAUAUAAUAUAUAUAUAAUAUAUAUUAUAUAUAUUAUAUAAUAUAUAUUACUAUAAUAAUAUAUGAGAUGAAGCGUGAAGAAUAUAUGCGGUAGUCUAACGAGGAGGGUUUUACUACUGCAUUUGUCUUUCGAUGAUAGAUGCUUCCAAAUUGACGAUCGGCUCCGUUAAAUACUGUAUCUAAACAUUUAAAAACAGCCUAGAAACAAUUCACGCACGUUUACAUAUUAAUUCUUAUAUCCAUCAAAGUGAACAGAAAAAUGAAUGCUAGAAAUGAAUCCUUUAAUAAAAUGAUGAUAGGAGUCUUGUAAUCAAGACAAGAGUAUAGGUCUAUGUUUUAAAUUAGUUUAAAAAUAUUUUCAAACAAAAAAUUCAAUUGUUUGGAUUAUCGUACGGCCGUUAAACGAGAAAACGUCUCUCAUCGACCAUAAAAUUAUAAAUUUUGAAACAUCUUUGAUCAUUAACAAAUGAUGUCGAAAAGAUUAUUGAAAUUUAAUUUCUAAACAGCUUACCCAAUCAAGUGGUAUAGAUCAAUGUUACAAAAGAGGCCAUCGCGUCAGUUUGUAGAAGUUCUAUCAUCGAAAACAAAUCGGUAGUUAAACGGCUCGUUUACUACCGAUAAGUAUUUCAGCUCAACUCUCUCUCUAUAUAUAGAAUUAGGCUCUAUUACCUAUCUAUAGUACCGAGCUCGGUAAGCUAGUAGUGCUGUUUUCGAUUCUUAGGGCUGUUCAAAUCAACGUUCCAUCGCGUUAAAUAAUGAUCUAGAUAUAGGAAAUUUAGGAAAAAAUUUAGUGUUUUCGGAUAUCGUUUACUAAUAAUUAAUUAUAAUCAAAAUGGACGGUGGAAAUUGAAUAAUCUUUACAAUUUGAGGGCAUAGGACUUUAAUUCAUAGAUCAAGUAUUAACCUUAAUCAUUAUAGUUUAAUGUAUUUUUAUCCAAAUGAAGAAAUUUAGAUUCUGCUUUACACCGUUAAACUCGCAAAUGUCGUAAUGCCAUUGAAAUUUGACAUUUUGAAUAGUUUGAUUAUAAAAUAAACUAGUCGAAAAAUAUAUAAAAUUUAUUUCUAGAGAACUUUAAAUACGCCUAGCAUCAGUUUUAACGUGUAGAUCGGUUGAUCUUGAACGCUCUAGAUUUGAAAACAACACUAUGUACCGGGAGCUCGGUACGUAUAGAUGAGUAUAGUAGCCGUAGUCUCUUCUCUCUCUUACCUCUCUCUCUCUCUCUCUCUACUAUAUACUAUAUAUAUAUUAUAUAUAGUAUAGAGUCGAGGCUACUAUCUAUCGAAAGCCACGGACCUUCCGCUGCUUCCACCUCGUUUUCGAAUGUUGCGACUUUCGAAUCGUCGAUCGUGUCCGUAAAAUUGAUUAGAGUAUUUGGAGUACUAGAAAAUAAAUUUUAUUAUUUUCGAUAUCAUUUGCCUAGUGAUUCGAAUGCGGUCUCAAAAUACGAAAUUUCAAUGACCGUAGUGACCGUUUGCAAGUUUAACGGUUGUAGAAAUCUCAAACUCAGUGGAAAUUUUGAUAGAAAAUUCUUAAUAUGCUGACUAUAUAAAACAAGAUCAAUUAUUUUUGAUUUAAAUUAAUGUAUAUUAUUACAUUUGUAGCAUUUUUAUUUCAGCCGUUGCAUUUUGAGCCCCUUCGUUCACGUAGGCAAAUGUGAAUCGGUAAUCAAAAAUUUAUUUUCUAGGUACCUACUUCAAAUACUCUAGAUCAAGUUUAACGAAACCGAUCGACGAUUCGAAAGUCGCAACAUCGAAAACGAGCUGGAAGCACGGAAGGCUCUGUGCUUCCGAUAGCAUAGUAGCCUCACUAUAUAUAUAUAUAUAUAUAUAUAUAUAUAUAGAGUUGGACUGGGCUACUAUUAGGAGCAAAAUCCCAUUGUUGCUACCAAUUUUUUAGCCUUUGGAUCAACUCUUUUCAUUAUUUCUAACCAUUGGAUUAAAUGCUACAACCUAGUGGGGACCACUCAACCCUAGGGGGGACCACUCAACUCUAACCGACUAAUAUCAUCCUGACCCUACAAUUUUUCAUCCAAGGGUUAAAAACUUGAUAGCAAAAAGAGCGUUUUACUAUUAAUAGUAUUCCAGCAUAAUUCUGAUUUUUUAGCCCUUGUAUAAAAAAUUUAACAGUUGGGAUGAUAGCGGUCCCCUUAGGAUUGAGUGGCUCUCGAGGGUUGAGUGGUCCCCACUGGUUAAUAAUAUUAAUCCAAUGGUUAGAAAUGAUCAAUAGGAUUGAUCUAAGGAUUAAAAAAUCGAAAGCAUCAACCACUUUAUGCUUCCGAUAGCAUAGCAAUUCUAUUAUAUAUAUAUAUAUAUAUAUAUAUAUAUAAUUUAUUCCGGUUCGGAUCGGGUAAAUACAAAAUCCAUAUCUGUCGAAUUUUUAUUUUCUAUAUCCAUAACCGAACCCAUAUCUUCUUAGCUCGGAUAAAGCUGUCCUGUUCAGAUUCGGAUUCGAUAAUAUUUCAAGUAUUCAUACCCAUUGACAUCCCUAGUUCUAAUGGUACUAUAUUUGCACUAUAUUCCCAAAAUGUGGGGUUUUAUAAGGACUUUUUAGAAGCAGUAAAAAGAAAAAAAAAAGAUUCUUUCAUAGAGUGGAGAACCAUGUGGGGUCUCUCGGCUACUUCGUCCUUGGCCACCAGUAGUGGAAGAUUUAAAUAAGAGUUUAGUGAGAAAAACAACCACAUUUUGCGGCAUUUGUCCUUCAUUAAUCUAAUCACUAUUACCGGUUAAUGGUGGUCAAUUUCAAUCCUUAGAUUAACACAAAUCCGCCAAUAAUUAAAAAGGUUAAUUGCAUAUAUUUUUUUGUAAAGUGUAAACACAGUGAAUUGUAAAUAUAUUCCUACAAAAUUUAACUUUUUUAUGUUAUUUUUAUAAAAGUCCUAAUAUUUUCAAAUAUGUCUCGUGCAGUUAUAAAUCGUUAGAAAAUUUUAACUAAUUAUAGGUAAAAUACAUAAUUCUGCUUAUUUAAUAAGGUAAGUUGAUAUUUUUACUCUUUUUAUAUUAUACUUUCUUCUCUCAAUCAAAAUCUAACAAUGGAAAUUUUUUUUUUCUCUCUUCCACUCUCUCCUUCAUGCUAGUUUCGAAUCCCUAACUAGAAUUUCUUCGUCUCUAUUUCUCCACGACGCAUAUUGCUUCUCCGAUGAUGAGUGUGUGGUGCUUUUUCAUUCACUUUUCUCUAUAAUUUUUUCAUAUUUUGCUCAAAAAAAAAAGUUUAAGAAAAACAUAGUGAAGAAGAGGUUGCAAUAAUAGUGAACUGGAUUGAGUUUUAAAGAAAGAAAAAUGAGAAAGAAGAUGACCAUUGCAAAUUUUUGGGAGGAUAUUUCUGCAUGAUUUUUGCGAGGACAUUUUUGCAGUUGUGAUUUUUUGUGAGACAUUUGUAAUGGCAAAAUUGACAUUUUAUAUAUCUGCUGUUAAAAAAUAAAUAAUUCUCUAACGGUAACGAAUAAGAACGACAAAUAUGAAUAUCAUUGAACAUUUGUAGGGAUAAAAAUUUAAAGUUAAAUUUUGUAAAGAUACAUUUACUAUUUACUAUAUUUACAAUGAGUUGUAUGCAAUUAAUCCUAAUUAAAAAUUGAACAAUUGUCCAUCCCCUCAUGAGGUCCAAAAAGUCUUUGUCGAAACAGAAGCACCGUAUAAAAUAUAUCUCAAAUCAGUUCAAUUGUGUUAUGCGAGAUAGUAUAGAGUUUAAUUAUGAGUAAUAUAAUAAUUUGGUAUUAAUAUACUUUUUUCUAGAAAAAAAUUUUAUACGGUGUGGAGACUUCUGAUCAAAUAUUAUUAUUCUGUGUAACGACCAUGAUAGAAAGGAAUUUUUCUAUUAAGCUUCAGUGGUGGUAACUUAUAGUCACCUCGAAAUUUAUUUCUGCUAAAUAUAGUAAAUAAGACAGCUUUUAUUAUGCGACAGUUAAUUAGCGGUUCCGAUUGUUGAACGAGAUUGGAUUUGGGAUAUGCUUAUGUAGUGCUAGUUUAUUUAUUUAUUUAUUUAUUUAUUUUUAUUAAUAAGAAGAGGGUCAUUAUUUUCAGAUGUUAACGCAUCCCCACCAUCUUAGGCCAGGUGUUACAUUAACUAUGAGCUUGUCGGGUUGAGAGGGUGACUCCAAACCAAUCAGGUGUAUCUUGGUAGUGGCAAAUUCCAGAUCUUAUCUAAGAUCACUUUAUAAUAUUGAUUUGGACUUAAAAUCUAACUUGUUAGUUAGGCGGGUUACAUCAACUGUGUGUGUGCAUAGUCUUUUCGGUACAAUAAUAUCUGAUCAGAGAAAAUUAUUAGAAAAUAGUGGUAAAUACUCUCUAUUAUGUCUCAAAGUACUUUGAUAGCUGAUUAUCUUAUCUAAGAUACAAGAGGGUGUGAACAUAAAUUUAAGAACCAAAGUUAAGUGUUUACUAUCUAGUGCUAAGUGAUCCAUUACUUGUUCCAAACUAUUUAAGCGUAAGUUAUAAUUAGUACUAAUGUCUUAGUUACUUAUCACAUUCUUCCACAUUAUCAUAUGCAUAUUUUACCACUUAUGUAGUGUUACUAUGCAUCAUUUCAAUCAGAUUGCUGUGGCUGGUAUUGUAAGCACUGGGAUCCUUUCCCCCAGGAACCUCCAAAUGUAGACUCUUCUUUCAACUGUACCACCACUUCAGCCAUGCUCGGCCUCUCGCCGUCCAUCGGCAAAAUGCAAUUCAUCGCCGCACCGACGACCUUCUGGACCGAUUUGCCAUCGUAAUCUUCUUCAAGUUUCAGGUCGAUUAUCUCGGCCCACCGGACUAUGUUGGCCCUUUACGGGAUUGUUUGUAUGGUGGGGAGGCCUCCCACCAAUUCCCGAAAGAACAACGCCGAAGCUGUACACAUCGCUGUUUUUGAUCAAUUAAAACGUGUUGUACGUAGUGUGUAAUUAGUGAAAAAAAAAAAUGUGUUAGUGAUGCGGGCCUAAAUCAUGUUGAAAGAGAAGAAGCAGAAGAAUGAUACAUGAAAAGAUAUUUUUUCAAAAAAAAAAAAUUUAUCAAAUAUGAGGCUACCUAUAAUAGUUGAAUGUCAUAUAGUUACACAGGCGAUAUCAAAAUUCCACAGGCCAAAAAAAAAAAAAUCUAAAAUAUCUCUAAAUCUAUUCUCACCAGAAAUAACCAACAUUUUAAAAAUAUAAAGGCCUUUCAAAAGCAACCUAAGAGUGCAAAUUCAGAGGCAUAACCAAUUGAUUUAGAUCCCAACUUGAGCCAAAACAGCGAAACAGUUCAUGACUCAUGAGUAGAUUUUGAAAAGUUGUUUCUAAAAUAGGACUGAAUGUUAAAAAGAGAAACCCGAGCGAAAAGUUAUAACUGUUUUAAAAAAUUUUCAAACCGUUUGUAAAAUUUGCCGAACUCAAUAGAAUUUUCAGCCCAAUUGAUUACCACAAACUUCUCCAUAAAUUCUGCCGCUAAGUUGGUUGCAUCUGUUAGUUCACUGCAAAGUAAUACACUUCGUUACUUGACAAAAUGUUCUAUAUAUAUAUAUAACGUUUCUUUUUUGUUGAAAGAAACUAAGAGAGUUUGACCAACUUUUUUGAAAUUUAAAGAAAAAAAAGGAAAAAGGAAGAUUAGUUAUCAAAUGAACGCUUUUUAAAACUUCAGGUACCCAAAUUUAAGGUAUAAUUCAAGUAGAGUUUUCGAAAUUUUGUGCAAAAGAUGAUGAGAAGAAUAAGGAGAGAAUACUCUGGGUCAAUGUAUCCACGAGACGUGGGUGUGAGCAUCAGGUAGGAAGGCCCUUGAGAUCCCGAAAUCCGCGAUCUUCGCCUCAAAGUUAUUUGAUAGGAGUAUGUCGCUCGUAUUCACAUCUAAGUGAACUAUAUGGUGUGUGCAUCCCUUAUGCAGAUACUCUAGCCCUGGUCAUUGCUCCAUUCAUUCGACGUUCUCUUAGACUAUUGUAGACUACAUACCAAACUCCUCCUAUUUCUCAAUGAUAUCCCAUGAUCGAGACAAUUGGCUGAAUCCCGUGAAACACCAUCCCUUAUGGAAUUGCCGAAGAAAAAUCGUGUCAUCAGCAAAUUAUAUGAGUGCUUGCUAUUUGGCAGUCCGUCGUCGGUCCUAGCCGGCUUGGAAGAUUGUUCGAUCUCGCUAUCUCUGUAAGCCCGGCCAGGCUUUCAACCGUCGGAAGGAAGAGAAAAGGGGAUUGCGGGUCGCCUUACUGUCUCAGUCCUCUAUUGGUCUUAAAUCCAUUCAGUUGGCAUCCUCGUGCCUCAGUCCUCUAUUUGCCGAUGCUGAAUAGCUUUCAACUACUGCUAUAGUACAAACCUCGAAUAUGGGAAGUGCAACACUUCGUUUUAGUCUCUCGUUAGUACACAAAUCUUUGAACUUCUGAUUGCCAAACAUAUAGUUACUGCAUCUCGGAAUAGAAAAACUAAUCUAAGGCCAGAUAAAAAGGAGACAACGUGCAUACCCCGCGGCAUAUAGUGAAUGAGCGGCAGAAUCACCUCGCACAGUGAGCAUGGGGCUAUUACAAAGUUGUGCCCAAAAGGCUACACAACAGUUGAGGGGCUUGUAAUCUUUGAGCUCCAAAAACUUCUGAUGGAACGGCCCAGAUUUAUUUGGAUCAGCCCAUAUAAAGCCCACGAUCAGCCCAAAAUAUAUUAACGGGCCUUCUCGUUGGGCUUGGAUUUGAAGCUUUGGUUUCAACAUGGGCCCAGAGCCCGAUACCCGGAUCUUAGAUCACAACAUUAGUUUGAACGGUUGCAAUCGACCGCUCACGCGGUUAUUGACGGCUCUGAUCUGGUCAAUGGGAUCUCCGCUACGGCGCUACCAUCAUACGCUCCUGUUUUCAAUUUUUUAAUAUUUAUUAUAUUAAUCUUUUUUGGUUUUCAAUUCAAACGCGCACCAACUACGGAUUCUGUCGCUUUCCUGUCCACGUGGCAUCGUUGCGGGAUCCGACCGUUGCAACUCAAAAACGGUCUAAUAAGUUCCCAAAAAUUUUCCCCUUGCCUCUCCAUUGGCAAAGACGACUCCUCUCUCUCUCUCUCUCUCUCUCUCUCUCUCUCUCUCAUGGCGAUCGUGGCGGAAACCCAGCAAGAAGAGAAGGUAUGGCGAAGAAAUGGCUCUCUUUAGGGUUCUUUGGUGCUCAAUUGCGGGAUCGUAGGCUAAAGAAAUGGUCCUAUUUUAGGGUUUAUUCGAAGACCUCUCUUCCUCCCGGAUAGUUCUUUUGUUUGGACUAGGUUGUGAAUGCGUCUUAAUUGUUAGCAAAGUUUUUCUGAUUUUGGUAUUGACGCGAGCAAUUUGGAGGAAAGCUAGUGUUUUGCCUCGAAAUCAUCGAUUAGAAUCCCUGUCGAGAAACCCUAAGAUUUUUGGUUAUGGGUUUGAUUCGUCCUUUGAUGGAUUUAAAGGUUACAGCUUUAGAUCCAAGAAAUCGGAUUGAAAUAUAAAAUUAAGGUUUUGUCAUGCUGUAAGAAUUGAAGAUUUAGGGCAUUUUGGAUUCUUUCCUAGUUGGGUUUCGUAAAGCUUUGUCGUGGUCUUAUAAUUCAUAGAAUCUAAAGCUCGUUAUGGUUAAUUUUAUGUAAUGUGGUAUUAUUUGACCAUUCUAAUGUCUAAAGUGUUUUAAUUUCAGGUCGCUACAGUUGAGAAGCGUUGGACCUUGAAUGACUUUGACAUUGGAAAGCCUCUUGGAAGAGGAAAAUUUGGUCAUGUCUAUUUGGCCAGAGAAAAGAGGGUAUAUUCUAUUAAUUUUUCCAUCUUGGUUUUCAAAUUACUUGCUUGGUUUAUUUUGAGUUAGUAUAAUUAUGUCGUUGUUUCCGUUGUCCAUAGAAAAAAAAAAAAAAAAAAUCUGUAGUUGUUAUAUUAAUUGCUGAUUCUUACUAAGGAGAGUUGUUAGCUGAAUAGGUUAAGAUGACUGAAAAUGGUGCUUUUACUUGGGUCAGAGUAAUCACAUUGUGGCCUUGAAAGUCCUUUUCAAGAGCCAGCUGAAACAAUCUCAAGUGGAGCAUCAGCUGCGCCGUGAGGUGGAGAUACAGAGCCACCUCCGAAACCCUAAUAUACUCCGGCUAUAUGGUUACUUCUAUGAUCAGGUUUUUGGACACUUCUCUCCUUUUGUGCUUUAUGGACAAGUUAGUUGUUCAAUUGACUACUCAUCUUUUUAUCUGAUUUUAAUAUGUUUGUUUUUCUUUGUUACUACAGACGCGUGUUUAUCUGAUCCUAGAAUAUGCAGCUAAAGGUGAACUUUAUAAGGAGCUGCAGAAAUGCAAGUACUUCAGUGAGCGAAGGGCUGCGACUGUGAGUUAUCACAUAUGUUUGGAUAUUAUGAAUCUAAUGUCUUAAAUCUUUUAGUAAUGAAGUGCCUUGAUUGGUAAUUAUCUUUCCUUAAUCAUUUGUAUUUCAGUACAUUUCAUCAUUAGCACGAGCACUGAUAUACCUCCAUGGGAAGCACGUAAUUCACAGAGACAUCAAACCAGAGAAUCUCCUUAUUGGACUUCAGGUACCACUUGCUUAUCUGCUAGUUCCUUCUUGAAACUUAGAGGUUGGGUUGCUUAUAAAGGCGUGUUUCUGGUGGCAGGGAGAGCUAAAAAUUGCAGAUUUUGGGUGGUCGGUGCACACAUUCAACCGCAGGCGGACGAUGUGUGGAACACUGGAUUACCUUCCUCCUGAAAUGGGUACUUUGAACUGCUCUUGUCUAUGUAUUGGAAGUUAGAUUUUGGGUUAUGUAUCUUAGAGGUGAGUAUUUUGUUGCAGUGGAAAGUGUGGAGCAUGAUGCAAGUGUUGACAUUUGGAGUUUAGGUGUCCUGUGCUACGAGUUCCUUUAUGGAGUGCCACCAUUUGAAGCAAAAGAACAUUCCGACACAUAUAGAAGGUAAAUGAAUAGGCUACAUUAUCUAAAGCCUCCUAUUACUGUAUCCUUAUUAUUUCCAGGAUAAGAGUAGGUGUUCUUUGCAUGUUAAUUAAGCUCGUUAGCUAUCUGAUAUCUCUAGCUAAAAAUUUAAUUUUUGGUAGGGUCUUCAUUGUGGGUCUUGAUUGUAUAUUAAUUAAGAAAGUUUACCAUCUGAUAUAUCUAGCUAAACAUUUAAUUUCAGUUUAUGUCUAAACAUGAAUCAACGAAGAAUAAGCUCGUUAAGUAAAUCUGUAUUUUGGUACUUUCUUGAUUGCUGCAUGACAUUAGAGGAUAUACUCAAUUUUGUUUAACAGUUACUAACUUGUUCUCUACACAAUAUAAAUGUGACAUUCAUGCAAUUUAUUACAUCUACUUGAAACUGCAGGAUACUGAAAGUCGAUCUUAAGUUUCCUCCAAAGCCAGUUGUUUCUCCUGCUGCAAAAGACCUAAUCACGCAGGUGGGAGCUCAAUCCUUUAUUUUUUUUCUUUUUCUUUCGGUCUUCAUUUAUUCGUUAGCAGGGUGUAUGUAUUUAUUUAUUUAUUUAUUUUCCCUUCCCUUGUGUUCUCGAUUUCAGAUGCUUGUAAAGGACUCCUCUCAGCGUCUUCCCCUUCACAAGUUGCUCGAGCAUCCGUGGAUUGUACAAAAUGCAGAUCCCACAGGCAUCUACAGAGGUUGAUUCUUUUCCGGGAGAGUUCUAGUGACACAUUCAAUUCUUUUCACCAAUGUUUAGGACUUAGCUUUGAGCUAUGAUAAAACGGUUCUUGUUCUCUCAUCCAAUAUCUUCAGCUUUAAAUAUAUGGACCGCUGAACUUUGUGUAAUUGUUAGGAUGUCAGGAUGGUGCGUUGACGCACUGGACCUUGAAAUUCUUGUAACCUAAUGGAAUGGCUCAUCAAUAGAUGCUUGCGGAUGAUUCCGCUUGUUGCUCUUUCUUUUCUUAGACUAGUAGUUUUUGUGUCUUAUUCAAUCUUAUUCAAUGUUCACACUCUGCAGAUGAUGUGUUACUGAAUCCUAUAACUAAUACUUGAUGGAAGCUAUGAUGAAUGAAGUAAAUUUUGCUAAAAAGAGAAAUAAACUUCCUCUAUAUCAAGAUUACAAGGAAAUGGUUACUCCAAAAAAAGCUGAUUCAUUUCAUUCGUAGUGAGUCUUUUUUUACACCUUUGGACAUUUUUCAAACAACAAAAAGAAUUGGACAGACAUUUGUUAUCAGUAUAAGACUAUGAAGUGUAUUAUAUUUUCUUGCCAAUAAAUAGCUCUAUAAACAGGUAUAAAAGCUUAGAUAUAUACUCUAUAAGCAUGCCGCUGAACUUACCUACGCGCACAUUUUGGUCUCCUCUUCACAGAGAUCCAUUAUGAGCUGGGCUAUGGUAAUCGAGGUCAUCUUGUUCAUCCACCCAACUGUUUUCGACAUCCCAAUGCUGCAAUUGGGGUUCCUCCACUUCGUUUGCCUCCUCGGCCUCUCUAUUGCUCAUAAAGCUUGGUUGAUUAGUCGAAGAGAGUAGCCUUGCCCACAUCCUAUCGGUUAUUACGACUUUUUUCUGCUUUUCUGUUAUCCUCUGCAUCAUUGAUGGAUAGUGUAAGAUGGUUAUAUAUCGAAAAGGCUUUUACAUAAAUAACUCUGCAAUACCUCAAGAGUUGAGAGUUGCAGGGUACAAAUGUAUAUCUCUUUUAAGAACUUAAAUCAUGUUUUGAAAUUGAAAAGCUUGGUCUGAGCAAGCGAACCUUCAGUUUUAUAGGAAAUGGAGAAAUGGAAUGUAAGCUACUUACAGGAAAUGGAAUGUAAGCAUGUCGUCCAUUAACAGGGCCAACAGUGAAGCCGGUGUAUCCUGCCAUGGCGCCGUGGAUGGCGCUGUGUGCCAAUAAUGUGCAGUAGACGUUAUCCGAUGCAUUGGCCGGAACGGCACGUAUCAUGUAUGUAGGAUCUGAUACAGAAACAUAAAGAUAAUUGGAGAUGUUUCAUCUAAUGUUGUUAGCGAAGCUAAGUAAUGGAGUUCUGUUCGCGUUGUAUACCUAUAUACUUGAGAUUUAUAGCCAUUUUCUUCUUUCCUGCAAAAUAGCCCUGCAUGGUGGAGAAAGAAAGUAGUUAGUUUCACAAUAAGAUUGCUUGAUAAAUUGCUUGCCUAUUGCUACAAAUCCAGAGUUGUACGAGCAAAUAAAUGAUUUUGCAGAAUACAUGUAUAGAGACCAACAAAUUAUUGGUUGAAAAUUUUAACUUAGUAUCUAACCUUUAUUUUUUGAGACAACCAGAGCCCAACAUCAAGAAGCUGCUUAUUUCCAGAAGCAUCUUCACGGUUCUCGGAUCGCACACUUUCAGCAAUGAGCUCCUGUCCUGCACCCUCUGCAACGACGAUAACCAUAUGGCCGUUUUCUUUCAGACGCUUCUCGAUAUACUCUAAAAGCCCACCCUUCCCUUCGAGGAAGAAAGGCGAUUCUGGGAUCAAGCAACAGUCCUGAGGAAACAAAAUGUAUUUCAUAAAUCUUUCUCUUUUUUUUCCCCCUUAAAGCAUCGUUUUGGUGAUUUUAGUGUAGAAAAGAUAAAAAUUCUUCAUGAUGAGUAAAGAAAUUAACAUACCACGUCUCUACUCGCAAGAGUAGCAUACAUUGCAAUGAAACCUGCACCAAACCAAUAAGACUUGAGUAUUAAGCCUGUUCAAAUAAUAUUCUUAAGAAUUAUACUUUCAGCAGGACAUAACCAAUAUUUGCAACUCUGUAAUUCUAAACAGUGAGAAAUGAGGUACACGUCAUGUCUUAUCACAAAAUUUAUUACUUUUAGUAUGGUUUUAUCAGAAAUUAUCAGAACAUCAGAGUGAGAAGAGCAUAAUGCAAUUGAGACUACAACUUACCGCUGUUACGCCCCAUCAACUUCACUACACCUAUACCAUACUCAGUGCUCUCUGCCUCCACAUGCGCCGCAUUUAUCGCUCUUUGGGCCUCCUCUACGGCAGUAUCGAACCCAAACGAUUUGUCGAUAACCUGAAUCAGGAAGUGUCUACGGUGUUACACACUAGUGUAAUGAGGCUUUCCAUACUAGCAAUCAGAUGCAAAAUAGUGUGUUGAAGUACCUCAAUGUCAUUAUCUAUGGUCUUUGGAAUGCCGACAACAGAAACUUUUAGGCCUCGCCGCUGUAUUUCCUGUAAAACAAAAAAUCGAAAUGCAAGAUCACUCUAUUAUUCUUCGUUUACCAACAUUCUGAAGGAAAACAAAAAUCAUGUUUACCUCAAAUAUCACAGAGGCCCCUUUCUGAGUGCCGUCUCCGCCGAUGACGUAGACCUGAAACAGUGCAAAAUAAGUAAACAUUAGAUGAGAAACAUAAAAUAAAUAAGUUGCUGGAGAUGAAAACUACAUGGGAUUGAAAGAAUGCCUUAUGCAACCUGAUUAAUCCCGCGAUCCUGAAUGCUGUUGACAAUCUUAGUAGUGUCAUGGCCUCCUCGUGAGGUUCCAAGGAUGGUUCCCCCUCUUUUGUGAAUGCCGUUAACACACUUGGGAGUCAAGUUGAUGGUAUUGCGAGCGUAGAAUCCUCUGUAUCCACCCUAUUGAUGCGACAAAGAAUCACAUAAUCGGGUCAUAAUACUAACAUGUGAUCAGCACAUCUUAGACCAUAUGUAACCAAGAAAAAAUCAUGAAAAUUGUAAUCUAAUCCUCACCUCAAUGCCAAGGAUUUUGGUAACACCAUACAUGUGAGAUAAGCCGCAUGCUAACUCCCUUAUCACUGUAUUAAGUCCAGGGCAUAGACCUCCACAUGUAACAAUGCACGCACGCACCUCAUCCGACUCAAAACACACCUGAGAAAACAUGAAAAAAACUUAGUAUUUGCACAAAAUAUGUCGAUAUUAUUUAAUGAUAUGUAAACAUAAUAUGACCUACCCUUUGACGGGGCCCGGCACGCCGAAAAUGCGUUCCCCUGGGGCUAUCUUUGUGAACCACAAUCUACAAAACAGAAACAAAAAUUUUUAAAAAGAAAUAUUUAGUACUGGUGCUCAAAAUUUCCAAACACGCAUCUAAUUGAUCUUGCUUAUGAAAUAACUUCUCUAUUCCAAAAGGCAGAAACUUUUUGAAAUUAAGGUUUGUCUAGCAAAAAUCGUACAGUUUAUUCCAUGGAAAGGAGUGAAAUGAGCUUUAGCUUUCGAUCCAAGAGCAAAAACAAAGCUCUGUUAUAAAGCUUUUACUCCUUAUAUAGAGAGUUUUAUUGCAAAAACUAACAUUAUCGCUAUGCAAAAUAACACUUUUGUAGAAGCUACUUAUGAUCGGAUGCGAAAGGCUCACCUUUUGAGCAACGCUAUCGUCGGCAUUAACAAAAAAUUGCCUGUGAGGAGAAAUUAAAAUAAAUUAGUAAAUACUUUCUAUAAGAGGGAAUUGAAAAGCGUAAUACACAGAACCGGAGCGCGAUUAAUGUAUAACAAAUAAAGUAACUGAACUGCAAAAAAAGGAAAAGAAAAGAAAAGAAACUCACUUCACAACUGAGUACGCCGGAUUAUCUUGGAGCGGAUUUGGGUGCGUCUAGCAAAAUUAAAACGCAAAACAAAACCCCAAAUCAAUAAAAAUCUAUCAAAAAAUUCCCCAUAUAUUUUAAAAAAAAAACAUGCAAAAUUAAUCAUCGCUAAAAUAGAUCAAAAACUCACAGGGAGAUUAGGGAUGUAAUCCGCGAGGUGCGGAACAUCCUCAAGAACGUAUCCGCCGUCUCCGUAAACGAUCUUCGGGGAUCUCCUCUUCUUCUCGCUCCCCAUCCUCGUCGUCCUCUCCAAACGCAGCUUCAGCGACUCGAUCGAGCUCCCGAGAUCGAGAACGUGGUUGGGACGCGAACCGAUCGAGCUCGAAUUCGACAGAGAAGAAGACGCCGCCGCGUUUGAAGCGGAGGAGGAGGAGAAGAGGAGGGAGAAGGUGGGUUUCGUAGGCGUUGUUGUUUCUGUGAACGUCAUGUUCUUAUAGGGAUUAUUAGGGUUUGACGAAACCGAUGGUGGCGAGUUCGCAAUUUCGCGCUCUCGAGGAAGAAGAAGAAGAAGAAGAAGAAGAGUACUUGGAGGGAAAAAGAUGAAAAGGGCGGAAAGGACGGUGUUAAUUUAUAGGACCUCAGGAGUGUGUGAAUUUACGACAAUGCCAAGGGCGGCGAACGUGUAGGACUCCGAUUCGGAGUCGGAUUAUUUUUUUUUUGAGAAAUAGGUAGCGAAGCUACCUGUUUCAUUCAUUAAGUAAGAUGAAUUAAGCGUACAUGUUGGAGACAGCUAAGGCCUCCUAGAGGGACCGGAAGAAAAACAAAAGAAAGAUAAAAACGAAAACAAAACAGUAAACAAACACUAAAAAACCUGACACGGGAACAAAACGGGAGACUUUCGAUUCCAAUUCGCUUGUAUCUGAAUUUCCGGCGCUGAAAGAAGAAAUCACUUUUAAAGUACGUCAGAGUAUUGUGGUCCAAGUGCUGAUCAGUAGUUUGAGACGUGCAAGAGACCCAGAAACCGUACAAAACGGGAGACUUUCGAUUCCAAUUCGCUUGUAUCUAAAUUUUCGGCGCUGAAAGAAGAAAUCACUUUUAAAGUACGUCAGAGUAUUGUGGUCCAAGUGCUGAUCAGUAGUUUGAGGCUUCGGAGUCGGAUUAUUAAUCCGACUCCGAUUGGGAUUUAGAAUUGGAUUCAUUUUAGGAGUGUCAGAUGGAAUAGAACGUUGAUGGUUCAUGACAUCCGACUUGGGAUUCGAAUUUUAAAUUCAAAUUCGAAUUUAAUAAAUAAUUCAUUGGAUAUUUUGAAUUCCCAGUUGAUUAUAAGGCCGGAUAGAAAUUGAAUUGUGAGGUUUGAAGUAUCAGAUGCACAAUAGAUGGCCGUUCAUAAUAUUUGAAUUAGUUUGGGAUUCUAAUGCAGUUCGUAAUUUAUUUUAAAUUUUAAAUUUGAAUUUGAAAUCGAUUAGCAGGUAGAAAUUGAGUCAUCAAAAAAAUCAGCUAUAGGCAAUAAUUUUUCAUAAAAAAAAACUAAAAUUACACAAUUUUAAAACACCAAAAUACGAAAUUUUAAAAAAAAAGGAGAACUAAAUUAAAAUCCGGUUAAAAAUUCACACACUAGCCGUACAAGUUACCCAAAAAAAUAGGAAAGAAAAAUGACAAACACGUGCUUGAAAUCACGUGACAAAGGAGGUUGGCUGCUACGACGGUCUAAUUCGGACGGAAGACCAAAUCGGUCCCAGUCCAACAUGGCAAGCGGGAAAGGGAGAAAGUAACGGUCGAUUUUGAAUUAAAGGGAGGAUGGCAACUUACAGAUUUAUGAGUCGUGGCGCAGAAUCCUACCGAAAAUUUACCGACAGAUAUAUAUCGAAUUGUGCUGGUCAUAAAAAAUAUAUGACUACCGAUACAUAACAAUACGAAAUAUUUAUUUUUUUUAGUAACAAAUAUAUCAAUUAUUUAUUAUAUAUUUUUAUCAAAUUUUUAAAAUUUUAUUAAUAAAAUUACUUAUUAAUUUAAAAAAUAAAAAAAAUUGAGUUAUUUUAUCGGUACGGAGUUGUAUCGUGGAUACGACUCGUACCGAUAAACACUUAAAUUCUUCGUGAUGGUAUUAUAAUUUUGUGAAAAAUGUAAGGGUGUUUUGGUAAUUUAAACGGCGUCCCGUGAAAAGGCUUUUUUACGAGCGGUUGGGAAUGCACGAGAUUCAACUUGGAAGUUUUUCAAAGUGAUUUGUUUUCGUUUUCUACAGGGAAAGUGCAACUUCCUUAUUCUUUCUAACAAAGGACAAUGCUACGUGUGUUCAAAAGUGUACCCAAAGUGAGCACACAGAUAAAUUUUAGGUGUAGAGACCGCUGCACUAAUAGAGAAGUUAUAAUUUAAAACUUCUGCAACAAUAUAAAAAGCAUGUACAAUACUUGCGCACGUACUACCAAAGCGUAUUUUCAAGCGUAGAGGUAAGGACGAAACAAUUAUUAGUAAGUUUGUUGAGUUUGUUGAUCCUAAUUUUUUGAAUUGUGCUCUUACAUUUAAUAUUAUUUCUAAUAUUUAAAGUAUUAUUGAAGUGGAAAACUAAAAUGAAAUUCUAAUUCAAGCCGAAUAGCGCCUAUUUAGUCAUUUUUACGGAAAAAAUAUUCAAAAAGUUUAGUGUAUGACUUCUUUCUAAAAGCAGUACUUUGGUAGCAUUAUGCACAACUAUGCGCUUUGUAUGUGUAGUACGAUCUAUGUAAUUUAGAAACGCGUUGGUGGUACAACUUGGAGAUAUCCUUAGCAAUGAUCUUGUUAAAAAGAAAAUAAAGUACACGAAUCCCUUUGACGCUCAAAAAAAACGACCGGAUGUUCUCCUUUCUCGAACUUUUGUCACCAUGAUAAUAAACAAACUCCUCUAAUUUAUUUAGUAAGAUUAGAAAAUGUUCUUUUAUUGCUCUUCUCUCUAUGCACAGCUUUUACUUCAACUGGGAAAGUAUUUUCUUAGACGAGAAAAUUCUCCAAAGGACAAAAAUUAUGUAAAAGCAUUUUCAAACAGAGAUGAUCGAAUGGACACCGUUCAUUUUAUGCAGUCUCGUUCAUCAAGUGCUUUGACCUGAGACCUGCGCCAAGGCCCGUGUAGGUUGUGUUCUAAUUGUACCGUCAUUAUUUGGGCAUUUGUUUCAACAUACACGAGUUCGACAUUCCUAAAAGUCACAAACUAUAUAUUAUUUAAUUUACUAAAAGUGAGGCAAAAAUAAUAAAACUGGAUCUACCUUUUGAAUUCAUUUGACUCAAAACAGGGGGUUAACGCCUGUAAUUAAGAAUUUUAGGCGGGAAAGGUGUAUGGUGAGUCAUUGAUGGAAUUUUGGCGGCAGCAAACCAACGGCGGUGAAAAUAUGUGAAAAUAUUAACACCGAUCGUCUCUAGCGCAAAUGACAAAAAAUUUGGCUAAUACCCGAGAUCCCAAAUUCGAAUUCUAAUUGAUUCACAUUUCCAACUAAGUUUAUUUCUUUAUAAAAUAAACAAAACGAGUAGCAUUCUGUCUCUCUCUCAGCAAAAAAAAAAAAAAAAAAAAAAAAAAAAAAAAAAAAUAUUAACCAGGAUAUUUGCAAGCCAAAAAUAAAACUUGCAGCAAAACCUGCGAGCAUAGGUGGGUUUAAGCCCCUUGCUCACAAUAAUUCUGUUUCAUUACGGAAUUGUUGAGCCCCGCACGUUAGUUCUAUGAAAUCAUAUACAACCAUGUUCAUUAAAUCUGAUCGAAGUCAACAUGAGAACCAUAAUCAGAUUCAACAAGUUUGACUUCAUGUAAAAGUCACAACUCCAUUACUAUAGCAUACGAGUAACCUAUUAUUUAAUCUCUUAACAAGCCUCUUCAAUUACAUUAGGAUAAAGUUGGCCACACAAUACCAUCAAACGAACAACUCCCCGAGCAGACUUCAAAUAAUUCUUUUUCACUUUUCUUUCAAAAUUUCUUCCCAUAACCCCUUAAAUAUCCCCACAAUAUAGAUAAGACAAUCUUUCGUCAAGUUUCGACAUCAUCCGGUUAGCUGUGAAUCCGCGAUAUAAAUUUUCAUGUCUUGCAAUGCAUAUAUCGAGUAUGUUCUUCGACAUUCUGUCCUCCCUGUGGAAUGGCUGGUCUAAGAACUCAUCGAGAGGCAUCCACUGCAAAAAAAAUUUUUUUAAAAAAGCUCCCGUAAAUUAAUGGCGCAACUAUUGUAUAAGGAGGGGUUUAUUGUCAUGUUCAAAUAAGAAUCAUCUGAAUUACCGUUGCAGCUUGGAUCUCCAACGCAUCAAUUGAUAUGUCAAACGACAAUGGCUUAAGCAUACAUAUGAAUAGCAAAUCAGACUUCUCAAAAAUGACCUGAUGUGCAUGCCUAUGAAUGGUAAAGAAAAGAGAAGGAAAAAUCAUGGAUUACGACACACUACAAAGUACAAACAACAUUAAGAAAGGUUAUGUUCCAGUUACCUGAAAGCUACCACUUCCAGGAAACAAGUGUCUAUCUGAUAACAGACAGGAACAAAAGGAAUGAAGAUUGUUAGGAUUUCUAUGAUUAGAUGAAUGCAACAUACAAUUCCCGAAAUAACAGAUCAGAGUAGUUUCUCAUUACCCCAGUUUCUUCCUUGACUUCUCUUAUGGCUCCACAAAAAAUAUCUUCAGACUGAAAACAAUCGAUAAAUUAGAAAGGCAAUUGUCAGCUCAUUGUCCUUGCCUGCUGGUGAUAUACUAAUACCUUUGAAUUUCAAGUGUACAGCACCAAAUAUUCUCAACUACAACAUGUUUAUGAAUGCAUCUGAAAAUCAAGUUAUGAUUAAAGCUGAUUAACUAUAAACAGAAAUUGUCUGCAAAAAAGGUAAGUAAUAUUUUCCCUCCAAAGAAAAUAUGUCGCGCAAAUUGAUAAUUUCGCAAAACGUAGCAGCAGCUUGGAACACGUGAGUACUAAACUGUUAUGUUUAGUGAUCUUUUUAACAUAGCAAUAUCUCUAAGAUCCCUUUAGUUGCUGAUAAAAUAAGUUGUUCUUAGAAUUCUCAUUUAAUAAACAAUUGUAAAGUUGUUCUUAGAAUUCUCAUUAAUAAACAAUUGUAAAUGCUUAUCUCAUGCUAAAACAAUCAAAUGGACUCAUUUCACAUGCUACUAUUGUUACUGUUAGCUCUUAGUUUCUGUUUGCCUAUGAUUACCGUUGUCUGAUCAACCAUCAAAGCUUGACAUCCAAUCUAGUUAGAACUUUCUCAUGAUCCAACUCUUUUACUAGCAACAUUCAUAAGGAAAUAGGUUACCAUUCAAUCUAAUUACGUACUCUUUACUACAAGAAAUAAACAACCAAGGAGAAAUAGCAUCAGUUUAGACCAUCCGGGUGUAUCCCCAAUUUCCUAGUUUUCCUAUUUUUAAAAUACGAAAAUUUUAAAAAAUUGCUUGUAUUGCAAAUCCACCAACUGUUCUUCAAUGUACCUUAUCAAGAAGACCAGUGGGUAAUUUCCAUAUGCACGAGCACCUUAGAGGGCAUUUUUCUUUCACAACAAGCACCUAAAAUAUGAAAGGAUGAAUGUAUUGGAAGGUUAUUCAACCAACUGAAAAGAACAAAAUGCAACCAAAUACAUCAGAACUGGAAUUUUUCUUUCAACUUAAACACGUGUCUAACAGUAGAAAAAUGCCUUAGCCGCCGAAGAAUAGGUUGCCACACAUAGUUACUAACCUCCCUGUUCUCAUUGAUGACAAAUCCUCCUACACCAACUUGAUGUGUUGCAGUAGAAGGCAGCAUACAAGGCUCAUUGGCAAUCCAGUAUGUUAGCAUGACAUAUCCUGGCUCUGCAUGGUGGUAACUGAAUCCCGCCUGAGAGAUAUUUGCAGAAUGAUUAAGUGGAAGCGAACAAGCGUAAAAUGAAAGAAACCAAUCAAAACGAUAACGAUAAUGUUGCAUAUCGGAUCCUAAAUGAGCAAUUUAGUCCUGUAAAUGGACAUUCUUGAAUCAUAAUAUAUUAUAAUGCCUUUAAGAAUUGCAAGAAUUUACAAUUUCAAGAUUGCCCAUUUCCCAGAGUAAAACAAAGUCAUCCUGAGAUAGUGAGAGGAUCCAAGGCUUGCCUUUAAUGCAAUCGGAACAAGAUCAGCCUGAUCUUCUAGUAUCUUCAGCCAAAUUCCUUUCUUUCCCUAUGCUAUCAAAAUUAAGUUAAAAAAGCUAAUUGUUGUCAUAAUAAAUGCUUGCCGACAUAGAAGUGUAAGAAAAACCUUUAGCCUCCAAUAAGAAAGCGAAUAAUGAAGCAUAGCAGCAAACUCAUAGGAAGUGUCUGGCAGGCACUCAGGAUUGAUAAUAGCUCCAUCAUAUUCAUCUUCAAAGGCAUCAAGUAAUCCAAGAGUUGUAGUCACGGGUGUAUUUUGAGUGGCAACAUUAAUUCUUUUUCUCAGAUAACUGUCGAAGACACUUGGUUUCCUUUUAAUAAUUGUAGUUUCCAAGCAUGGUAAUCUUCUUGUGAAAGCUGCAACAUAAGUGAUAAUAUAAUUACUUCAGACAAUCAAUAUGUAGAUACUCCAAGAAUUUAUUAAGGGUUGAACAUAAACACUUCUUAUACAUAGUAGAACUGAAAUAGCAGAAUUUCGCAUUAUUACGUAGCCCACUAGCUUCCACUCACCUUCUAUCUUCCUGCUGAAACCAACAUGAGUUAUCAUUGGAGUUCUCGUAAGAGGCAGCAAAUGGUAGCACUUCAAAUGUGAAGAAGACAACUCAAUCAAAGCCAUUAUUUUGUAAUGAAAUUAACCAAAAGCCUGAUUAGUAGGCACUGGCGAGGAACUCCGUCUCAAAUAUAUAGCUCUCAAGAAAGAUGAAUAUGGUACUGCAAAAUGCAAAUGGAGAAAGCACAGCAUAUGCCAUUCUUUACCAGAAGCAGAAGCUAAAAAUUAGCCUUCUUUGAAGGAAUUUUUUAUCAGCAUAUUGGUUUAGGUGGCAUGAUCCCUUUCCCUUUAACUAGCUUUAUAUUCCAUUUAACAGAUGCAUCUUUUGCUAAUAAACCAACCAGCUAGUUUGAAACAACUUGAUAGUAGCAACUACGAUGCAGUGAUUCGGAUUCUGAUAGUAAUACACAACAAAAUGAAACAUAUUACAUAAUAUUUCAGUACAAUAAUAAUUCAUAGAACAUUCCACUUUUCUUCUAUAAAGUAGAGUAUGUUCCAAAUUCGAGGGCCUUACUACUUUCCAAAGCAUUAUUCUGCAUCCAAAAGGUUAUAUUCGUUGAGCAUGUUCUCCCGUUUGGGAUCUAAGCAACUGCCCCUUGCUUUUUAUCACCAUUAUUUUUUGUCUUACCACUUCAAAUUAAGAUCAUGGGGUUCGAGAAGCAAGAAUUUGCAGGGACAGAUUACGAGUCGAAAGGUUCUGAUUUAGUUACGCAGAACGUAAUUCAAUGGUUAUUUAGUAUCUCUUAAAAUUUUCAGAAAUGUAUCAUUGUAAACUACCAUGCAAUUCCUACGUCCUAUAAAAAAUAAAAGCUAUUGCAAUAUUAAACAAUUCAGUUUCAGCAGUUAGAUCAAAUCACAUUAGAAAAGAAGAACAGAUUCCUCUUCCUAUCACAGCAAUUAUUUGAUACUACCAUUAUAAUCCUUCUAUAUAAAUGAUAGCAAACUAACAGACAACACUGUAGGCAUUUGUUCCUACCAUAUUGAACCAUGUAGCUGUAUAUUUUGAACUCAUUUGAGAUUAUUUCCUCGAACUGAAGAGCAUAUCGUCAAGCAAUUCAGUCAUAAACAAGCAUAAGGACAUGCCAUAGAUGGAUUCACAGUAAAGACCAAACUAAGGAAUUUUUUUAGAUCAAAACCAAUCAAAACUCUGGAAUAAUACAACAAUAAGUGCAUAUCAAUUAUCAGGUCAUCUUGUAAGUUGUAACUGAACUUAUUCUACAGAUAAAGUUUAGCCAUUUGAAUUUGUAGUUUUCUUCCCUCAAGAUAAUGCCUAAAGCAUUUUCCUUUUCCCUGAUACUAGAAGUGUAACAAGGACCACAAUUAACCUUUGACAGGAGACCUUCUAACUUACAUGGCAUUUCUCUCCAAUACUAUUAAUAAUAAUAGGCUAUUUCCAUGCGGUAUAACUGAUGUAACAUCUUUAAAACUUUAUAUAUGAAUCCUGCCCUGAUAGAAUUACCAAAAUAUUGUGAUGUGGUAAUGGCAUGACAAAUAGCUUUACAGUGCACAUGAAACCAAUUUAAAGCUAGAGCCAAAUAAAGAGUCCCACUAGGAAGGUCUAACAAAAUACUUGAUCCCACAUAAAAGCAUCUUAGUAACUUGAUGGGAAUUUGUUGGAUUCACAACCUAUGCCAGCGUCCAACUUGACAGCAUAUUCUGUUGCCUUUGAAAAAGUUACAAAGCAUUUUAUUCCAUCACUAAACCAAUCCACUUAAACCUUAUCCCUAUUGAAAUUAUCCUGAUUGAACAGAAAAACAAUACAUAAAAAAAAAACUCUAACACGAGAUUACAGAAAUUCUCUUCCUUGCCUAGUGUCGUGUACAGCCCAACACCCUGCCUCUCUCAAGUAAGAGAUUAGGGAGUUUUGGCAACCUUCCUUGAAAAGAAUUUUAAAAAAACUCUCCACUUCUAAUAACUACCUUUACAGAAAGCAAUUUGGUUGAUAACUAUUUAUGUUAAGCUUGAGAGUAAAUCAAACGAUGCAGAAGGAGAAAAUGGAUAUCAUUAAGACUCAAAUGUAAGUAUUACUGCAAUGCACGACAGUAAAACACUGAUGCAAAUGAAAAACCUAAAUCAACUAUAACCAAACAAAUCCACUUUAUUUAGGGUUAUUUACAUUGCAUAGUUGCCAUGAGCCCUUGCAUUGCUUAGUUGCCAUGAACCUUUGUCAGCCUUUUGAAGCUUUUAUAUUUCGUGACUGCAGAUGUGGAAAACAUUUUAAACACAAUUACUGUUUGACAUGGUAGGGAAGUCCACACAUAUGGUAAAGCCGGCAUGUUUCCAACAAGCUUCUUCCUGUUUGCUACCCCUCCUCUUUAAGAAUCAGAAGGAACAUACCAACAAAAGAGGAAAAGAAAAUAGAUUAUAAAUCAGCAAUUGUAAAAGACACAUAGUAGAAGCUAUGCAAACUAUUGCUGAACGUAGAUAAAAUUCAUAAGGGCCAUUACUUGGUUCAAUGGUAAAAGUCCUUGGGCUCGCCACUAUAGAGAUCUUGAAAGAAGCCACUUCACCAAAGGUUCAGGUUACUCCAAAUAAUCCCUCCUGCGACCUCACUGUGGUGGGACCAUAACUGGACAGUGGCUGCCUCUGUUGAGAUGAUUCAUCCUGUUCAAGAUAAGUAAGGACAUAAAAUUAGAAGUUAUCAAACACAUGUAGACAGUAACAAUUACAUGAUCAUGAAACAUACUAAGAUAUAAAAUU